GGCAGCGAGGUGUAGUGGUUUGAGCAUUAGGCUACAACUCUAGAGACCUGGGUUCAAGUCCCAGCUCAGCCG